rnacentral:tRNA from 1 species
GUUCCCGUAGCUCAGCAGGAUAGAGCGGCCGCCUCCUAAGCGGCAGGCCGGGCGUUCGAACCGCCCCGGGAACGCCA